UGUAUAGGUUGUUGUGGCACGAAAGGGCCCUGCUGAUGCGGCUGAUAGUGAAUUGAAUGGCGGGGUUCCAAACAAUCAGCUAUCAAUGGUUCAUCUGAUUCGAGCAGUUUCGUUGUGAAGGGAGGUGUUUGAGGUCCUUCCAUGCAACUAAAGAUGCUGGUGCUGACUCAGCCUGUAAAUCUCUUGGCAUGUCUAAGGCUCAAGUGAAAGCAAUUCAAAACUUAUUGUGCGCAAAUUGCCAAUACAAACGGCAUCAGUGUUUUUUUUUUGUGGCAAGUUGGGCUCUUCCGAUAAAUCCAGCAACGCUGAGGUUUGUUAUAUUCUAGCAGAAUUUUCAAGUCUUAAAAAAUAUUAAUUUGAUCCUUUCUUGUCUGAA